rnacentral:misc_RNA from 1 species
AACGCAUCUUGCGCUCCUUGGUAUUCCGAGGAGCAUGCCUGUUUGAGUGUCGUGAACCUCUCGACCCUAGACUUUCAUUAGACUUGGGGCGGAUUUGGAUGUUGUGGGGUCCCUUUGGGAGUCCGCUCGUCUUGAAAUGUAUUAGCGGUCUCUAAUGCCAUGUCUUAAUGGCGGCGUGAUAGGUAUAUGCUUUGAAACGUCGCGAUGUGACUGGUGUAAUGGACGCUUCUAAUGGUCUUAGGACGAUAUUCAUGUCAUCUGACCUCAAAUCAGGUAGGACUACCCGCUGAACUUAA